GUUUUGGUGUUGGUUGAGUUGGGCUGUUGUGGUUUUGUGGAAGACCAUUCUCAGUAAAGGGGGCAGACUCUGCAAGAAAUCAGCUGACAGGCGUGUGCUUCUUCUGAUUCCUUACUUACAUCAAGAUAUCAUCUGAGGGGGAUCUGCGCGAGACCUUAAUUGUACCUCUAAGGAUAUGCCAAGCAGAGAAGAUGAAGUGUCUGUUUCAUUUUCUCCUGACAAAUCAUCAUGCUAAUUGUUAGAAGUCAUAAAUACUUCCUUUCUUAGUAUCUUGGUUAGGUAAUUUCACCAGGCACCUAAGCCUCCAGUUCAUAAUGUUACUUAUUAUGUGUUUUGCCUAAUACCAAUGAAUAUGACAACAGUUGAUGACUAAUGUAUUGAAUCUACUAUUUUGUUAUGUAUUGAAUCUACUAUUUUGUU